AUCGUAGUUUCAGGCAUUAGACUGAUCCUACCUCUAUUGUCUGAAAGUAUUAAAAAUUUGAUCUGAGGUAACUGGUCAUACAAAACUAUUGCAAUUGGCAGAGGUCUGCAUUUUCAAACGUAUACAUAUAUACGACGAUUUACGCUAGCAACAUUUUUCUCCGCCAAUAACGGAUUUGUUCUAUAGUUUUUCACGCUCUAUCGUCUCCAGCAAGUUUUAUUCGUUCACCAUAGAAACUCAGGCGUCCGCUGAUCGACGAUUUUAUAGAUCUUGAAAAUUUACCAUAAGCGAACCGCCGAGUUGCGUUGGAGGACAACCAAAACUCUCGGGGAUAGAGCCGGAAAAACUGUUAAGCAAAUCCUUUUCCGCCCGUUAAAAAUUUUGAUAGCGGAGGUCGUUCGGAGGCUUCAAAGUUCCAAUUUUUUAGAGCAUACCCUUAACGGUUUUUAUUCAAAUUAUUGU